rnacentral:rRNA from 1 species
UACGAAGGGGGCUAGCGUUGCUCGGAAUUACUGGGCGUAAAGGGCGCGUAGGCGGAUAGUUUAGUCAGAGGUAAAAGCCCAGGGCUCAACCUUGGAACUGCCUUUGAUACUGGCUAUCUUGAGUACGGGAGAGGUGUGUGGAACUCCGAGUGUAGAGGUGAAAUUCGUAGAUAUUCGGAAGAACACCAGUGGCGAAGGCGACACACUGGCCCGUUGCUGACGCUGAGGCGCGAAAGCGUGGGGAGCAAACAGG